CGAGCGCAACCCUUGUCCUUAGUUACCAGCACGUUAUGGUGGGCACUCUAAGGAGACUGCCGGUGACAACCGAGGAAGGUGGGGAUGACGUCAAGUCAUCAUGGCCCUUACGGCCAGGGCUACACACGUGCUACAAUGGUCGGUACAGAGGGUUGCCAAGCCGCGAGGUGGAGCUAAUCCCAUAAACCGAUCGUAGUCCGGAUUGGAGUCUGCAACUCGACUCCAUGAAGUCGGAAUCGCUAGUAAUCGUGGAUCAGAAUGCCACGGUGAAUACGUUCCCGGGCCUU
rnacentral:rRNA from 1 species